rnacentral:tRNA from 1 species
GGAAAUGUGGCUUAGUGGUUAAGUGCUUACCUGGCAUGCAUGAGGCUCUGGGUUCAAUUCCUCAGUACCA